rnacentral:rRNA from 1 species
UACGUAGGGCGCAAGCGUUGUCCGGAAUUAUUGGGCGUAAAAGAGCUCGUAGGCGGCUUGUCACGUCGGGUGUGAAAGCCCCGGGGGCUUAACCCCGGGUCUGCAUUCGAUACUGGGCGGCUAGAGUCUGGUAGGGGGGAUCUGGAAUUCCUGGUGUAGCGGUGGAAUGCGCAGAUAUCAGGAGGAACACCGGUGGCGAAGGCGGGAUCCUGGGCCAGUACUGACGCUGAGGAGCGAAAGCGUGGGGAGCAAAGCAGG